rnacentral:rRNA from 1 species
UACGUAGGUGGCAAGCGUUGUCCGGAAUUAUUGGGCGUAAAGGGCGUGUAGGUGGAUCUUUAAGUCGUGUGUCUAAGUGCGGAGCUCAACUCCGUAUGGGCGCAGGAAACUGGGGAUCUUGAGUGCAGGAGAGGAAAGUGGAAUUCCCAGUGUAGCGGUGAAAUGCGUAGAUAUUGGGAGGAACACCAGUGGCGAAGGCGACUUUCUGGACUGUGUCUGACACUGAGGCGCGAAAGCUAGGGGAGCGAACGGG